rnacentral:lncRNA from 1 species
CCUUCCCAUAAUAUAAUACUAGUGAAUUACCCGCGCGAUGCUGCGGAUAUAAAAUUAUUUUUAUAAUAUUAUUUUAUACAAUAAUUUAUUUUAUCAAAUUUAUAUGAACAAAAAAGAAAUUGUAAACAAAAUUAUUUAAUAAAAUUAAUUAUAUAUAUACACAUAUGUACUGUAUUUCUAAAAUUUUAGUCCUAAAAUUUAAAUUCUAUAUUUUUUUUAUACAUCGAUAUUUUAUGUAAUUUAAAUUGCAUUUAUUAGGUUAGAUUUUAUUACGCGAUUUAUUAUGCAUAUUAUUAGAAUUUAGAGAUCUAAAAUUUUAAAUUUUAAAAAGUUUAAAAUUUGGAAAUAAAUAUUAUAAUUUAAAAUAUAAAAUAUUAAAUUUAAAAUUUAAAAUUUUAAAAUUUAAAAAUAUCAAAAUUUAAAAUUUUGUAUUAUAUAUAUAUGUGUGUGUGUGUGUAGAAGUAGAGAGAAGAGGAGGGUAGGGGGGACACGUGUCACUCUAAGGUCCCCCCAAACCCUCCUUUAAUGUAGUUAAAAUAUUAUAAUUUAAAAUAUAAAAUAUUAAAUUUGAAAUUUAAAAUUUUAAAAUUUUAAAAUAUCAAAAUUUUAAAUUUUGUAUUUUAUAUAUAUAUAUGUGUGUGUGUAGAGGGAGAGAGAAGAGGAGGGUUGGGGGGACACGUGUCACUCUAAGGUCCCCCCAAAUCCUCCUUUAAUGUAGUUAAUAAAUAAAUAAAUACAUAAAGAGCUCUCAAUGAGCAAAAAUUAUAUUUAUACCUUCUAACUAUAUAAAAUUUUUCACAUGAACUGAGUUAUGGGUAGCAUGUUAUCCGUUUUGUUUAUUUUAUUUAGAAAUAAGCUUAGCAAAAUGUGAAUCGACUAGAAUUCGAACUUAGAAUCUCGGGUACAAACUAUCAAAUUCUUUGCUACUUGCGCUAGAGACGAUCAGUAUUUGUCGAUUAGUAUUGAAUAACUAAUUUCAAUAUUUAGAUAAGGCCCGAUGUCUUAUAAAAAUGAUUUAUU